rnacentral:rRNA from 1 species
GAGUUUGAUCUUGGCUCAGAACGAACGCUGGCGGCAUGCCUAACACAUGCAAGUCGAACGGGAUCCUGGCUUCGGUCAGGUGAGAGUGGCGGACGGGUGAGUAACGCGUGGGAACCUGCCCAGUGGUGGGGGAUAACUGCGGGAAACUGCAGCUAAUACCGCAUGAGCCCCGAGUGUAAGAGCUUGGGGGAAAGAUUUAUCGCCAUUGGAGGGGCCCGCGUCCGAUUAGGUAGUUGGUGGGGUAACGGCCUACCAAGCCUUCGAUCGGUAGCUGGUCUGAGAGGAUGAUCAGCCACACUGGGACUGAGAUACGGCCCAGACUCCUACGGGAGGCAGCAGUGGGGAAUAUUGGACAAUGGGGGCAACCCUGAUCCAGCAAUGCCGCGUGAGUGAUGAAGGCC